GAAGGGUGAUGGGCAGGGGCGGCUGUGCAUGAUCUCAUACAGGGGUCAGCGCUCAGAGAGGCCCCAUGCUCUGUGGUUGCCAUCUUGAAAUUCGUCAUGACUUUGUUUUUGGAUUUGUGCUUUUGAAGUGACGUGUGAUGAGACAAUGGAGUGUGUCCUGGAGGCCUGUGGCCUCAACUCACACCCAGACCUGUCUCCCACUGCCUCUUCACCUCCCACUGGUAUCUGGGGCCCUGUCCUGGAGAGGCUUAGGGUGGGGUAUAGUGAAAGCGAAAGUUGCUCCGUCGUGUCCGACUCUUUGUGACCCCAUGAACUAUACAGUCCAUGGGAUUCUCCAGGCCAGAAUACUGGAGUGGGUAGCGUUUCCCUUCUCCAGGAGAUCUUCCUAACCCAGGAAUCGAACCAAGGUCUCCCGCAUUGCAGGCAGAUUCUUUACCAGCUGAGCCACAAGGGAAGCCUGUGGGGGGUAUAGUGGUUGCCAUGACUACCCCAGGGACUUGGCACCUCCUCUUUCUCCCCGUCUAGAGGUUGAGUAUGUAGCUGUAGUUUGAGGGUCGCCCAUCCACGAUGGGUUCAGGCAGCAGGCGUGUGGGGAGCGGGGACUGACCCCCUCCCCUCGACCCCACUUCCAGCUGGAGCUCAUUGAAUGGAUCCAGUGGCUGGAGGACAGAGAUGAUGGUAACUAUGCUCGUGGGUCAUGCGUGCAUGCAGGAGACACAUCGAAGUGUGAGGUCCCAGGUGCCUCUGAGGGUCUGUAUUUCCCAGUGAGGAUCCUCACCCCUGAAGGAGUGUGAUGUUACCUAGCAGACACAAGUACCAUGGCAGGUUGAGUUUGGUGGGGAAGGAGAGAGACCCUGGAAAAAAGGAAAAGGCUUUCUAUUUUAGUGGUACAUUUUUCUUGCUUUUUGAAGACGGGAGUCCCACACCUUCAUUCUGCUCUGGGCCCUAUAAGUUACAUAGCCAGCCAGAUGAGUGAGGUGAGCCUCAAGUGUAUAUGGGGAUUUGUUUUUUUCACCAGGGCUGAGGACUGAUUGAGUUGGGAGCAGCCAUGGGGAGCAAGGAGGAUGCUGACCCCAAUCUGUGACCCUAGACAGGCUCGCCCUGAACAUUUACAGAACCUGGGGCAAGAGACCAAAGAGAACUGCAGGCUCUUGGCUGGUGCUCUCUCCCCUGGGCGCUCAGUGAAGGGAGGAGGAUGGACCUGGGGAAAGAAGCCUGCGUGGACCCUGGAGGUGAGCUUGAGGUCAUCCUGGCAGGGAAUUCUGGGAGUAUAGGUACUUAGAGUGUGGUCUUGGGGUAGGGUGUGGGCCCCUAGAGGGCAUGUCCCCUUGGCCCCAUGGACUCUCCAGGUGGAAGGUGAGACUGGACGAGAGCCAGGCAGGGACCCUGUUGAGGAAUGGAAGGGAUGCUGAAGCCACGGGGUGUGGAGGAGGGGCAUCAGUCGAUCCAGUGUGCUCAAGGAAUGGUUCUGGGAGGAAGGGUUGGGAAGUGUGGGAAUUGUGUGGGCUUCCCCACCUCACACACACCCCUCCCUGUGAGAUGCCUCACAAGCAGGGGGCUACUGAUGGGGAAACCUGGAGGAGAGUCAGGGUGAGGGAAUUGCCAGGUCCCCCUCCAGCCUUGUGCAUCCAGUUUGGAGCAGACCCGGAGGUGGAGGGGG
ensembl:lncRNA